rnacentral:misc_RNA from 1 species
AGGUUUUCAGUUUAUAACCUCGAUGGUCACCUUAAAGGAGGAUAAGUGUCAAAAAUAUUAUGAACAUGUGAUGAUUGACCCAUUUCUGAAGGUCCCACCAACUAAGGUAAUUAUUUUAUUUCCAAAAUAUCGAUGAUAAUUCUCCAUUAUAUCUUGUGCAAUAUUUUUGAAAUGAAUUUGAGUUUAUCCUUAUUACUAAGCAGUAAGAUGUGUUUGAAUAGCACUGUGUAAUAAAAUGUGAAUUAUGUCUCUGUCACCAAUCUUAUCUUUUACAGGCAGUUGGUGUGACAUUUGUUCGAUUUUUCCUGUCGCCACUGAAGGAUGUUGGAGCUUCAUUGAGUUCCUUUAUAAGAGAACUUUUAAUUGACCUCCCUCUGACAUUGUAUCCAGUAGCAAUGGCCAUGGUGACCGUAUUUCUAUUUUUGAUUCUAUUUAUGACUUUUGGCUACAGUCUCAGGCUGCCAUUUUUCCUGUCCAUUGAACCAUCACCUUACCAUGCUGUAAUAGGUGGCUCCUCUAAUCAGCAAGCUAUUGAGGACAACACCAAGCGUUUGAUGGAACAGAUGCAAACAAUGCAAAAUGCCCUUGAAUCCAGAGAAACACAGUUCACAGCUAGAAUGAAUGACUUUGAACGUCUUCAAAAAACAGCAAUAGAAUAUUCAGCAGCCAUCAAUGUUCCUGAUGCGCCCAUGCCCACAAUUCCAAAAGAGCCAGCAGUAUCUAGACAACGUACUACUACACCCAUCUCUCAAGAAUCGGGAGAUCUUGUACCCCUAACAGUAAAACCACAUGAUACAAAGUCUCCGAUUCCAUGUUCCGAAGCAGAAUUGGAAUCUUCCACUGAGGACUCGGAGCGUACCAUUAAUCUACCCCAUGGUGGUCAGUCUCCAUCCAGGGGUAGAUCCAGCAGACUUCCUCUUAGCAAGAAGAACAAAACCGGUGAACAAUUACCAACUCAGAUUAGCUCUGCAAUAGACAGUUCCCAUACUCAUGUUAUCUCACCAGAAACUGUACUUUCCCAGGAAACGAGUUCGAGAUAGCAGAAGUGCACAGUCCUCUUUGAAUUAUUUCUCCUUUAUUUAUCAAGUGGUGCAUCUCAUUUAUUUUUUCAUCAUCUAUUGCAUGAUUUUUGAACAAUAAAAUUGUUU